rnacentral:rRNA from 1 species
CCUACGGGGGGCAGCAGUAGGGAAUCUUCCACAAUGGACGAAAGUCUGAUGGAGCAACGCCGCGUGAGUGAAGAAGGGUUUCGGCUCGUAAAGCUCUGUUGGUAGUGAAGAAAGAUAGAGGUAGUAACUGGCCUUUAUUUGACGGUAAUUACUUAGAAAGUCACGGCUAACUACGUGCCAGCAGCCGCGGUAAUACGUAGGUGGCAAGCGUUGUCCGGAUUUAUUGGGCGUAAAGGGAGUGCAGGCGGUUCAAUAAGUCUGAUGUGAAAGCCUUCGGCUCAACCGGAGAAUUGCAUCAGAAACUGUUGAACUUGAGUGCAGAAGAGGAGAGUGGAACGCCAUGUGUAGCGGUGGAAUGCGUAGAUAUCGCGCAGAACCCCGAUUGCGAAGGCAGCGUACCGGCUCCACACUGACGCUGAGGCACGAAAGCGUGGGUAUCGAACAGGAUUAGAUACCCUAGUAGUC